GGUCAAUGAUGAGUAGUAAAAGGGCUGACUCCCCAGAUCCCCUCCCACAUCCUCUCCAUCCCCAGCUGCCUCUCUCCCAUCGGGCUCCAGUAGUGCUGUGAUGGGCAGAGGGGCAUCUGACACUCCAUGACGUCCCAGUUCCGUAUUCUUGGCGAGCCCAAGGAAGAUGUGAUUGGCGUCCCACAGCUCCUCAGAAGGGAUUUGAUUGUUGGGUCUGCUGGUAUCUGUGGUUAUGAUCUGAUGUUUCAAGCUGAGACC